rnacentral:misc_RNA from 1 species
GAUGAAGAACGUAGCGAAAUGCGAUAAGUAAUGUGAAUUGCAGAUUUCAGUGAAUCAUCGAAUCUUUGAACGCACCUUGCGCCUUGUGGUAUUCCACAAGGCAUGCCCGUUUGAGUAUCAUUAAAUCAUCAACUCUAAAACCUUUGUGGUUUUUUUAGAGCUUGGUCUUGAGGGUUUUGCAGGCUUUUUUUUUUUUCGAGUCUGCUCCCUUUAAAUGCAUUAGCGAGACUUCCCUAUGCUGAACCGUCUCUUUGACGUGAUAAUUAUCUGCGUCGAAUUUUGGUUCUCGUUGGGCUUUCUUCUAAUCGUCUGUUAAAGACAAAACGGAUUUGGGUGCAUAUAUGCGCCUUUUUCCAAAACCUUUUUUGAUCUCAAAUCGGGUAGGACUACCCGCUGAACUUAUGCAUAUCAAUAAGCGGAGGA